GUCGGCUUGCCGACUAUGGCGAUAAACGCGCUCGUAAUAACCGGACCGGACCCGGGGGCAGUACCCGGCGGCUCCACCA
rnacentral:tmRNA from 1 species